UAAACUGGUAGGAACAGCGUCUCGUGGAUCACAGAGUUCUGCAGUUCGUGACGGCACUGAACAACAGCUCAGUGAAGAAAGAGCUAAAGCUCUCCUAUUAACCUCAUCUAAUUCCUGGCCUUCCUGAGCUCCCUCUCAGGAUGAAGGAUCCUGUUACACAGGCCACAUCGUGACUGUGGUUACCAGAGGAAGGACUUAAAACUUCAACAUAAAAGCUUCAGCAAAGCAAGAGUGUGCCACUGGCUGCACCUUUUGCAAAGCUUGUGACAGGAACUGAAAGUGGACCUGCAUCACCGUCAAGAAACAUCGCCCAAGUACCUGCAGGAGAAGAAACAAACCAGUUUCAAGCAAAUAGAAGACUGCACAGAAGUUUCCCUCCUUCCGUUUCGUUCAGUGUUUGGGCUUCCACCCUAAUCUCAGCAGAGGACCAUUUUAAUUUAUUGGUAGUUCCACAGAAAUUGAAUAGUGCAAGUGGGAGGACAGCCUCUAGCAAUUAAGAAUAAAAACAGGAUGCAACUUAAAAUAUCGGUAACAUACUGUAUCAGACAGAGAAAAGCAUCUACUGGCUGCCCUGUGAAGCUGAAAAGACUCAAGAAGAUGUGAAUGUCUCAGGAAAAAGAACAAACCAACCAACCACAACUUAACACCAAGUCAAAUUGUAUCAGUCAUAGUAGCAGUAGUCUUCUCCAUCUAUCCCAAUGCACAAAGUUGAGAGCCACAAAGGCCUUUCAAGUGCAACAAACGCAUAGCAAAAGGUGUUGAAACACAAGAGAAGGCAGUCCAGACAUUUUCCAUCUAAUAAUCCCCCGAAGUGCAAAGCACACAUUAGAACACAAAACAACGAAUAAGGAGGUAAGGACAAACAACUCUCAAGAGACCAACAGCGACAUGCUAAUCUACAGGUAUGUCCUCAGAAACUGACUUGAGAAGCUUAUUUUAAAAACACACUAAAUUGUCACAAAAACCCCACAUGUCAAUAUACUGUGCAGUCAACAAACUCUGUGCAGCUGUUUAAGAACAAAUUAAACAAUAUAUUGUAUCUUUAAAGCCAGAGGAGCUAUUCAAUCAUGAACUCCGGUAUCUGUAAACCACAGCAAUUCCAACACCCAGUAUUCCAUCCAAGGACACGUCUGAUUAAAUCAUACUCUUCAGAAAAGCAUCCAGAAUCAAAGACACCACAAAAGGUUUUGGAGUAGUAACUCUAGACAUCUGACCAUCAACAACGUAAAUAGUGUUAGAGAUUCCGUGACAAAAACACUUCCUGAUGCUUGAAAGCCAGCAUCAUUUGUUUGAUUUGAAAGGGACCUCUGCAGCCCUCAUGGUCAUCAUGAUAUGGAAGGAUAAGCCACAGAGAGACCAGCUAGAAACUUAACACAUCUUUAGGGAAAAUAUCAUUAAGAGGCAAAUAAUGGUCUGUUAUGCAUUUGUCUGACUGUACCAGACAAUCCUAAAUCAAACCUCCUAAAACCCAACUGUUCCAGAAAUUAAAAUGGAAAAAAGAAAAAAAAAACUCUUUUCCUUCUGUGUCUUCAAAGGCAGAAAAUGCACUUUUCCCAAAAAACAUUUCGCUAAAUCUUGUAUGUCAACUACAGAUUUACUCUAUCAUACCAAUCUAUGACCACAAAAAUGUAACAUUCCUAUAUAAAAGCAAAAAAUGUAUCAUUAGUGGUUUUCAACAGAUUUCAUGUCCAGCAACAUCUGCAGAGCAAUAGAUUUCACUUAACCAGACCACGAUCUUUUCUAACCACAAAGCCAAGCAACGGAUUAAUUUCAAAAUAGCACCGGUCAGAUGUACCACUUUUGCACAUGGAUAAAGCAGCAAAUGCACUUGACCAAAGGCUGCCAAACUAACCAUAUGCUGUCCCAUGACCAUGAAUUACUAUUUCAGUUUUGAGAACAAGUAUUAUAUAAAAGACAAUUAGGAUUGGUAACUUGGAUCUACAGAAUACCUUUGCUCAUGAACGAACCCAUGUUAAAUUCAUGGCCAAAUUCUAUAUAAAGUUUGCUAAUUACCAAAGUUAUUUCGUAAUAACUUGCCUAAAACUUUACAAUACUUACUCCUCUUUUGACACAAAAUGAGGUCAAAGUGCUGAAUUCAACAUUACAAUCUAUUGCCCUGGAAAUUAUUGCAGAGUUUAGACAAAGAAGUUUAUUAUGAGAUCUAAUAGGAUUGCCUGAGAGAAAAUGUUUUCAUUCUCUUCCUGAAAGCAACACAAGACAGACAGACUGGAAGCUCUUUGAGUAAGGACUCUUCCAACAUUUUAAGACAGAACCAAGCAUAUUUCCAGUAACAGUAUACGUGCUCCUUUUUUCAGGGUUUUGUUCUAAUAAUUGACAUUUCCUUUCAGCACCCCAUACAAUUUUCAUCAGCAUGGAAGCCUCUUAAGAAAAAUAAGCCCCAGAAUUAGAAGUCCACUUACACUUGCAUUAAUUUAGGAAAACUAGUUUUUAAUUAAUUUACCCUGUUUCUUCCAUACAUAAACUUUAGCAACUUCCCUUCAAAAAUAUCUAAAACAGAAGUGCAAGUUAUAAUCCUACCAAAACUGUAACCUUGCUUCUGUCAUAACUUGUGUAUCUACACUAGUAGAAAGACAGUUUAUUUGUACUUCACUAUGAGUUAGUAAAGCACACCCAGUUUGCUCUCUGUAGGUGAAGAAUGUACAAGUAUUCACGCAGACCUCUGCUUUCCUGCCAACAACACCAGCAACCUCUAAGUCCUGAUCACUUCAUUUGCACUACUCAGAACUGAACUCAGUAAAACAAAAUUCCGAUCACUACCAAAUCUUACACAUUUUUUUCAUUCAAUGUUACUUUUUAGUUAAUAAAUGAAAGCUUUUCACAUUUUUAAAUGAUACAUGCAUAUUUAGCAGUAGACCUAUUUUCCAGCCCUGUAUUAAAGUUCUUUAUUUUAUCAUCUGCCUGUAAAUAUUCAUCUCAUGUAGGAAAAAGGGUGCAUCUCAUUAAAUUAUUAUUUAGAUAUCUGAAAAUUGUGUUGCUCAACAAAAAAAAAAAAACACAAAUAACUAUGUCUUUGGCAAGAGACUAAAUAAAGU